rnacentral:misc_RNA from 1 species
CUUGUGUGUAUUGUGUCGUGUAAGAUUCAUUAGUUUAUUUAUUUUAAAGUUGGAUAAAUAAAGUGUCUGUUUGUGCAUUAUGAAAAUUGGAGGUUAAAGUUAAAAUUUAAAGUCAAAUUUAGAAUCUAAUAUACGUGUUAUGCCUAACUGGUAAUCAACAAUUAAAAAUUAGAAAUAUAAGAAAGAUGAGAUGUCACUCCCAGAUUAUUUCUAGAAAAUGAAUAA